rnacentral:rRNA from 1 species
CCUACGGGAGGCAGCAGUGAGGAAUAUUGGUCAAUGGACGAGAGUCUGAACCAGCCAAGUAGCGUGAAGGAUGACUGCCCUAUGGGUUGUAAACUUCUUUUAUAUGGGAAUAAAAUGUGCCACGUGUGGGAUUUUGUAUGUACCAUAUGAAUAAGGAUCGGCUAACUCCGUGCCAGCAGCCGCGGUAAUACGGAGGAUCCGAGCGUUAUCCGGAUUUAUUGGGUUUAAAGGGAGCGUAGGUGGAUUGUUAAGUCAGUUGUGAAAGUUUGCGGCUCAACCGUAAAAUUGCAGUUGAAACUGGAAGUCUUGAGUACAGUAGAGGUGAGCGGAAUUCGUGGUGUAGCGGUGAAAUGCUUAGAUAUCACGAAGAACUCCGAUUGCGAAGGCAGCUCACUGGACUGCAACUGACACUGAGGCUCGAAAGUGUGGGUAUCAAACAGGAUUAGAUACCCCUGUGGUC